ensembl:lncRNA
GUAGUUACAUAAGAACAAAAGUGUAUAAAAUCGAUGAGCACCGAAUUAUUGCUGAAACGCAGCAGUAGGCCACGGCAAGUGUCUUGCACGUCAGUGUGUGUGUGUGUGUGUGUGUGUGUGUGUGUGUGUGUGUGUCCGUGUCUGUGAGACUCAACGGGGAGAUAACAAGAUAACUGUGUCUGUCACAUUCACAGAACAGGUGGCGUGCCGCACACAGCGGGUCCAACCCCCAGCCGCGGCCCAGGAGACCAGUUGGCCUGCUUUUGUUCCCGCCGGCGGAAGCCAUUCUCUGGGGAGUAGUCAGGCCUUGGCCCUCAGCUGAUGGAUGUGAGUUCCAGAGAAAGAAAGCAGAGUUUAAUCAUUCACAGCUGAAGCUCCCACAUAAAGUUUUUUCAGGCUCCUGAGGGUCACUCCGAUCCGUACGCGACGUCGUGAGAGUCUUGUUUGGCCUUGCCGUCGUCUGUCGUUUGCUGCCGAGUGCGGUUGGCUCCGUGGUUCAGUGGUGAUGCGCUGGAGCCCCCCGGCAAGACUGGAAGCAGCGCUGCCUUCGCCUGGCCACACGGGACCACGUAA